ensembl:lncRNA
GUGAAUUUAAAAUUAAUUUCAUGUAUAACACAUAUUAUGUUUGUCUAUCGUUGUGUUUUCAGUCUGGCACACACCAGUUUGUCUGGCAGAGCAGCUUCACUCCAAAAAUGUCGAGUGCUCCAAAUGGAUCCCUCACUUCUUCCCCUCACCAAGCUCUGCCUGGCAAACCCACCUGGCCAAACAACUGAAGGGUUUUCAAAGAAAAGAAGGAGGGAUUCAUCACUCAAGGCAUGAGGAGCUGAACAUCUCAGCAGACUGGGAGCAGCAGAGAAGAUACACAAAAGAUAACAACCAUGAAUGAACAUCAGCUCCAAACAUCACCCCUGGCAUGGUCAGAGACAGUGGGAAAAGAGAGAUGAGAGAAUCAGGAAUGAGAACUGAAAUAGCAUAGAAGGUGAAGGGAUCAAUAGGAAACCAAAUACUGCAAACUGUGUAACUUGGGACCAGUGAACACUGAACCAAUGAAUUUCCCUAGGUUUUGACUGUAUGAGGAUGAGAAAAACCCAGUGAAAUCCUUGUGUGAUGGAAGGAUUUUCUCUGCACAACCCGUGCAAUGUGUGGGUGAAAUGAUUUCUGUUGCACACCCUGGCCAAAAUAAAGCAAUGCCUUCAUUCUCUAACCCUGGGAGUUGUUGGAGGGUUUUUGUUUUUCCCGCAGUUUCUGUGACCCCAUCCCGCCACCUCCUCCCUGCCCAGCAGCUGAAGGGUUAAAAGUCUGCUCCCAGUUUUUUGUGGCUCCUUUCCAAAAGGUUUCAGUUAACACCAAAGGUCUCCUUAUAGCUCGCUCACUUUAAUAGAUUUUUCCCAUUGAGUUCUCACUUUAUAGACUAUCAUUUCCUUUUCUGCAGGGGAGCUAUUUUCUGGGUCACUGAUCCAACCAACUUAAAAGGGAUUUCAUUGAUUGGAUUUUAUUGGUGGUUACCUCAACCAUAAUGGCCCAAGUUGCUGGUACCUGCUAACAGCUGUGGGUCCUGCUUUGGUACCUGGCUCUGCACACUCUGCCACAAGUGCAGUUCCUCUCUCCUGCCUUAUUGCUGGGUAAUUACUUAGCACCUUCUUUACCUCUUAGUACCUCAGUUGUUUUUUAUAUUUCAGUGCCCCAGAUCAGCUGCAUGAUGAAGUGUUCCUGACAAAAUUCUGUUUGCUGUGGGUUGCACCUCACUCAUUUCUCUGUUUGCCUCUGGUCCCUGCAGCCACACAAACCCCAGCAGGAGCUCUGUAUCCCAGCCAGCAAACAGUGGAGUGGAGAGAUCACCACUUCCAAAGCAAAAUGAGCAUCCUUUAAAGAAGGAUUUUUUUUUUUUUUCAGUGAAAAAUUACCUGACUAACACUGAAGAGUCCUCCCUUCACACUUUUGAUGUUCCACACUGCUGUGUUUUUAUAUCUGAAGUAUCACUGGGUUGUGUCUGUUAGAAAUACAAAUCGAUAAUCAGGACAGGCAUUUCUUCAAAUGCCUAAGGUGCAAUUCCCUCUUGGCUGCUGAGCAAUGCAGACUCCAUGCUCUGAGGUGUUUUCUCUUGUGAUCCUUUUCCAGCCUUCCAGGCUUUUCCCUGACCCAUAUUACUUUGCAGUGAUGGCCUCUGCAUCUUUCACUACCUUUGUUUUAAGGGGUAUCAGUCAGAAUUUAUGGAGAAAUUGCUGUGAUUUCU